CCACCGCCUCGCCGCAGCUCGAGGCAGACAACACCUCAUCUGGACCACCACAGAACAACAGAAAUAUUCAGGCACCAUCUCCGGCAAGCAGAGCAGAGAUCAGUAAGAGUACACUUGUGCAUGCAGGCAAACCCUGAGAAUUGUGCCUUUCUGAAUACUAGCUGUGUCGGUGCUCAUCGUCAUCAUGGAGUUGCUGCUGCUGCUGCUGUUGCUGACCCCUCUGCUGACCUCUGCCCUCAGCUUCAGCACAGCUGCACCUCUCAGACCUGAAAGAGCAUGUAAGAUGUGCAAGAGGAGCAUCAGUGGAUGAGCUUGUGGCUUUGAUCACUUUGGCUGAGUUGCCACCAUUGAAGUGUUGAUCGGUUACAUGUGGCGGCGGUGGCGGUGAGGGUGAGCAGCUCGGCGGGGGAGCGGCUGUCGAGGCCGGCCUUCACGGCGGAGGUGACGCGGGACCUGUCGGCGCCGGCGGACUCCGCGGACUCGGCGCAGACGGUGGCCACCAGCGCGGCGGCGGAGGCGAGCACCGUGCUCAGCUUCCUGUCGGCUCCGGCUCCGGCUCCAGCGCUGCUACCGCUGCUGCUGCUCCUCAGCUCGCACGCCGACACGACGCCGGCGAUGGCGGCGGCGAGCUGGGCCACCGACACGGCCGCGUGGGCCUGCGCCGUGUGCAGCCGGAGCUCGUCGCGCCUCUUCCUCCUCCGGCUCCCGGCGACGGGGAAGCUGUCCAUCAAGUAUCCUCUCAGAAUCGCCCUCAAGUGUCCCAUGUUCAGCUGCUCAUUUCCAAUGGAAAAACAAAACCUUUUCCAUCACUUCA